rnacentral:lncRNA from 1 species
UUGCCUUCCCACAUAAAGAAAUUAGGGACCAGGAGGCAAAAAAAGUAUGGUGAUAGACUUUUACUCAAUCCCAUAGACUAUGAGGGUUUCCAGCUCUUCAUGACCACAUACCUGGAGAACGACAUCCCUGAGGAACUGUGUCAGCACCUGUUCACCUCCUUCAAGAGCAAGACAGGGGGCUGCUCUCCUGAGGUGCCCCGUGCUGGAGCAGGACUGCUGGAGCCACGUUCCAUUGAUGCAGGCAUCUCUAUACAGACUGAAGUGGCCUGUGCCCCCAUAACAGAGAGGAUCAGAGCGGAGAAGAGGAGGAGUCCGUCACCCCAGAAGGGCUCCCCCUUACCCUCCCCCCAGGUGGUGUUUCUGAAGGACAUUGUGUGUUACCUGUCCCUGCUGGAGAGGGGCACACCAGAGGACAAGCUGGAAUUCAUGUUCCGGCUGUACGACACAGAUGGCAAUGGAGUACUGGACAGCUCGGAACUGGACCGCAUCAUCAAUCAGAUGGUCCACGUGGCAGAGUACCUGGAAUGGGACUCUACAGAGCUGCGACCAAAAGAUAUUUUUGUGGUGAUGGAUUACUUAAAAAAAUGUAUUAUCCCUCUUUUAAGCACUCUGGUCUAUUAUGCCAUUAUCUCCACUGAUCUCUUGCUCUCUCUUGAGGAUGGGCAGCAUGUGUGGAAACUAAAGCACUUCAACAAGCCAGCCUACUGUAAUUUCUGCCAAACCAUGCUGUUGGGAGUCCGCAAGCAGGGCCUCUGCUGCUCUAUAUGCAAGUACACAGUCCAUGAACGCUGUGUAUCCAAAGACAUCGCUGCCUGCAUCAGCACCUACGCCAAGUCCCGCAGACACACUAAUGCUAUGCAGCACGUGUGGAUGGAGGGAAACUCUCCCACUAAGUGCGACCGCUGUCACAGAAGUAUCAAGUGCUACCAGGGCUUAACGGGCCUACACUGUGUGUGGUGUCAGAUCACUCUCCAUAAUAAGUGUGCGUCCAACAUGAAACCGGAGUGUGAUGGAGGAGCCCUUAGAGACCACACUCUACUCCCAUCCUACAUCUGCCCUGUAGUCCUGGUGAGAUCACACGCCAUCACUCCUCUCCCAGGCACACAUCCCCUCCUGGUCCUGGUCAACCCAAAGAGUGGCGGGAGACAAGGGGAGCGGGUAUUGAGAAAGUUCCAGUACCUGCUGAACCCCAGACAGGUGUACAGUCUAGACCGAGAGGGACCCAUGGUGGGGCUCAACUUCUUCCAUGAUGUCCCUGAUUUCCGGGUGCUGGCGUGUGGAGGGGAUGGGACAGUGGGAUGGAUCUUAGACUGUAUUGACAAGGCCAACUUCACCAGAGAUCCCCCUGUGGCCAUCCUCCCUCUGGGCACAGGGAACGACCUGGCAAGAUGCCUACGCUGGGGUGGAGGUUAUGAAGGAGGCAGUCUUCUGAAGUUCCUGCGGGACAUAGAGCACAGCACAGAGAUGGUUCUGGACCGAUGGAACAUCGACAUCGUCCCUGUUGACAAGGAGGAGAAGGGAGACCCUGUCCCCAACAGCAUCGUCAACAACUACUUCUCCAUCGGAGUGGAUGCGUCCAUCGCUCAUCGCUUCCACUUGAUGAGAGAGAAGCACCCAGAGAAAUUCAACAAGACCAUCUCUGCCACGUGCAAGAAACUCAACGAGUGUAUCGAAGUGGAGUGUGAUGGUAUCAUCCUGGACCUCAGCAGCACGUCGUUGGAAGGCAUCGCCGUCCUCAACAUACCCAGCAUGCAUGGCGGCUCCAACCUGUGGGGCGAGACCAAGAAGAGGAGGAACUACAGCCGCAUGAGCAAGAAGGUUCCGGACAGGAUGCCCGCCAGUACCGUCACCGAUAUAAAGGAGCUCAAAUUCUGUGUUCAGGACCUGAGUGACCAGUUGCUAGAGGUGGUGGGUCUGGAGGGGGCCAUGGAGAUGGGGAAGAUCUACUCAGGCCUGAAGAGUGCUGGCCGUAGACUGGCCCAGUGUGCUAACGUCACCAUCAGGACAUCCCGGCUGCUGCCCAUGCAGAUCGAUGGGGAGCCUUGGAUGCAGCCCCCAUGCACGAUCAAGAUCACACAUAAGAACCAGGUUCCCAUGCUACUGGGCCCUCCUCAGAAGACCCCCUUCUUGUUCUUCAAGAGACGCAACAGAAGUCGGGACUAUGAGUGAGGAGGACACUUCAAACUCCCCCCUCUUCACAAACACAUUCACCAACCUCUUGGGACAACUCAAUAGGUCCCACAGACCAAGUCAUUGCCCCUUGGACCUACAGUACCACUUCAGAAUGAACUGACUUCCUCUCAGUGUAAUGACCACUUCCUGUGUAUCCAUGUUCUAGCUUCUAGAACUUCCUGUGAACUCUGAACUCUGACCCUGCCACUGGCACACUAGCUCAGUCAACCCCAGCUCCAGACUCAGCU